UACACUGAUAAAGGAAUACGUAACAGAGUAUCGUAAAGGAUAGACAGUCGCCUGGGUAUGUAUCUGCUGUUGGAGGUCAACAAUAGAACUCAGCCAGUAUAUUGACUGGAUAAAGAAUGUGGGCUUCGGAGGUGCGGUUUCGAUCCGUAUGCUAUAUAUUAUUGUAUAAUUAUAUCAUUUUCCCAUAGGAUACACGCGGACAACCGUUUUUCCAUGUUGAUUUAGUAGCAAAAUACCCUAGGGGCCACUUGUAUACUGUUCUAUGAUUAAUACCGCCGGCGACUAACGACACAUGUUAGAAAUGCUGAUCGUCGUGGCAUAGAAACUCGUCCAUUGUGUUACCAUAGCAGUUUGUAGGAGCAAACCAAAAAGCCAAAGUUGAAUGGAUAAUAUGAGCAGACGCUUCCUGUUGGAUGGACAGUGAAAUGAUUUCCGCAAUUCAUCGUGGUAACAGCAUUUUGCCCUGCAAGGACAGUCUUUUGGCUUGUCCAUUGACGGCCUAAUUUGCUGUCGUAUCAAACCAAUCAAGAUAUAGUCGCUGGCUAAGGCUAUGGGAAAAGAGACACGCAUCAAGGCAAUAGAAAAAAAAUGAUGACAAACGUAAUUCUUCACGUGAUUGAUGUUACAAUUCGACUUGUCCGACCGUACAGCUUAACGUGAGGUCAGGGGAAAGGACAAGGGUCAAUUGAAGGGCGUGUUAUGUCUGUGCUGCUGACGGUUGUGCGAGAGCCUUAUCAUCAAUACAAAGUCAUUGUGAAACCAACUUGGCUGAUAGGAAGACAUUGGCCGAUAAACGGUGACAAAGUGUUGCGGAAGAUAACUUUGAAGUUUAACAAGACGAAAAAUAAGGAACCGCGCCCUCAAAAAAUUCACUUUAUUCUAACGUUCUAUAUCAUGGAAGGGAAAGAGCUGGAAAAAUCGUAUAAAACUGGACGGUAGUACCUGCGCAGUUAGUUGAUUAACGGUAACUUUCUUUUUGCACCAUAUGGAUAUUUUCAGAGUCAUUGAAUCAUUCAAAAUCACUGUAGACAACUGUAUUAAAUCUAGCGAUUUUAGAGGAAUAUCAAUCAAUGGUAAUCCUCAACAUCUUAUGUGCUCUUAAAUUUUUGCACUUGGACGGUCACCUUCGUCACUAAAGAUACAUCACUUUGCCAACUGAUUUACCGAAAUCUAUGAUAACGGAGACAAUUCCAAAAAAAAAACAAUCUCGGUAAUAUCAUUUCUUUCAGUGAAAUCAUUG